CCUACGGGCGGCAGCAGUGAGGAAUAUUGGUCAAUGGGCGUAAGCCUGAACCAGCCAAGUCGCGUGAGGGAUGAAGGUUCUAUGGAUCGUAAACCUCUUUUAUAAGGGAAUAACGUGCGGGACGUGUCCCGUUUUGUAUGUACCUUAUGAAUAAGGAUCGGCUAACUCCGUGCCAGCAGCCGCGGUAAUACGGAGGAUCCGAGCGUUAUCCGGAUUUAUUGGGUUUAAAGGGUGCGUAGGCGGCCUUUUAAGUCAGCGGGGAAAGUCUUUGGCUCAACCAUAGAAUUGCCGUUGAAACUGGGAGGCUUGAGUAUGUUUGAGGCAGGCGGAAUGCGUGGUGUAGCGGUGAAAUGCUUAGAUAUCACGCAGAACCCCGAUUGCGAAGGCAGCCUGCCAAGCCAUGACUGACGCUGAUGCACGAAAGCGUGGGGAUCAAACAGGAUUAGAUACCCUUGUAGUC
rnacentral:rRNA from 1 species